ACCGGGCUUUUUUUCCCUGUGGUGUAUUGGGCCUGAUUUCCAUUUAAAUACCACGGCUGGGUCUCAGAACGGGUUUUUCUCCGAACUUGAAAAAAGCGGGCCCGAGUGGAGCCCCAACAGCCCAAUUAAAGUCGUGAGGUUAGGUUCUAUCUCAUUAGGGCAACCCCCAAGGCGUUUCACACUUUAAGUGCUUCACGGAUAUGAUAAUGUGUUGGUGGAAAUUUGUGAACGGAAUUAACAAUUUUCAACCCAGGGAACACAAGUUAUGGCCCAUGGUUUUCGCCCAAAGUUCAAGAAUUUUACCCUGCACUAAAAGAGAACUAAGUCCUUGCAAGGUUUUAAAAGAAUUUCGGCCCUUCUUUAAUUUGACUCAAACACGGGGGAACUCACCCAGGUUCCAGACCCUAACGAGGGAUUGACAGAUUUGAGAGCUUCUUUUUUUGAUUUUUGUGGGUGGUGGUGCAUGACCGUUCUUAGUUGGUGGAGUGAUUUGUCUGCUUAAUUGCGAUAACGAACGAGACCUUCCCCUGCUAAAUAGCCAGGCUGACUUUGGUCGGUUGCAGGCUUCUUAGAGGGACAAUCGGCUCAAGCCGAUGGAAGUUGGAGGCAAUAACAGGUCUGUGAUGCCCUUAGAUGUUCUGGGCCGCACGCGCGCUACACUGACGGAGCCAACGAGUUCACCACCUUGGCCGAGGGGCCUGGGUAAUCUUGUUAAACUCCGUCGUGCUGGGGAUAGAGCAUUGCAAUUAUCGCUCUUCAACGAGGAAUGCCUAGUAAGCGCAUGUCAUCAGCAUGCGUUGAUUACGUCCCUGCCCUUUGUACACACCGCCCGUCGCUACUACCGAUCGAAUGGCUCAGUGAGGCGUCCGGACUGGCUUAGGGAGGUCGGCAACGACCGCCCGGAGCCGGGAAGUUCGUCAAACUUGGUCAUUUAGAGGAAGUAAAAGUCGUAACAAGGUAAC
rnacentral:rRNA from 1 species